UAGGGAAUCUUCCGCAAUGGACACAAGUCUGACGGAGCAACGCCGCGUGAGUGAAGAAGGAUUUCGGUUCGUAAAACUCUGUUGUUAGAGAAGAACAGCGCAUAGAGUAACUGUUAUGCGUGUGACGGUAUCUAACCAGAAAGCCACGGCUAACUACGUGCCAGCAGCCGCGGUAAUACGUAGGUGGCAAGCGUUGUCCGGAUUUAUUGGGCGUAAAGCGAGCGCAGGCGGUCAAUUAAGUCUGAUGUGAAAGCCCCCGGCUCAACCGGGGAGGGUCAUUGGAAACUGGUUGACUUGAGUGCAGAAGAGGAGAGUGGAAUUCCAUGUGUAACGGUGAAAUGCGUAGAUAUAUGGAGGAACACCAGUGGCGAAGGCGACUCUCUGGUCUGUAACUGACGCUGAGGCUCGAAAGCGUGGGUAGCAAACAGG
rnacentral:rRNA from 1 species